UAACAUCGCUGAGGUGUGUGCCAUCUA
rnacentral:sRNA from 1 species